AUGGACCAACCUCUGUUGGUGAGAAAAACAAGCUUUCCAGCUUACACGGUGCUCUUCUUCAGGUUUGGGAAAUGCAACAGAGAAGUGGGAGCCAGUGGAGGGAUUCAGAGAGAGGGGUGACAUGGUUCUGGCAAUGAGCUAGGAACAUUAUCUUUGCAGCAGCAUUCUGAAUGGGUAUGGGUGGGGGAAGAUUGCAUUUUUCAGUGUGGCUGGAUAGGAAAGGCAUAUCUUAGAGAUGUUAUGGAGAAAGAAUCCGCAAUAUUUAGGUAUCUUUUGGAUAUGAGGACCUAGAGAAAGGUUCAAGUCAGGCUAUGGGCCUGAGUGAUAGGCAGGGGGGUGGUGGUGGUCAAAGUGAUCAAGAAAGGAGGUGGUGAAAUUUCCACGACUGAGGCAUUAGCAUUUCAUGUUUUCCUGACCAUGUCAGGUACGUUGUUUCUGUGAAUUGUCUUACUAACCCCUGUACAGACUGAACAUUGAAACUCAACAAGCUAACAUGGUAAAUUUGCUUAAUCUACUUUAGGGUUUCAAUGCUUGUGUUAAUACACCUUUAUUCCUAGUGUAGACAUAUCCCUAGCAUAGAUGGACCAUCAACAUUUUAAGCAAUGUCAUCUAAUUGCUCAGAGCAAGGCUGAUUGACAAGGUGCCUAAAAGGUUAGUAGAUUCUGUGCGCUUCCCAGUGUUGUAAAUGCUGGUGGAACUGAACUGGUAUUGUUAAUAGAAGAAAUAGUCUGUCAGACCUUCUCUAGUGUAAACAAGGCUUAUUGUAGGAGAUAGCACUUGGCUAGCAGGAACUGUGCUCUGUGUCAGUCAAAAUAGUGUUUUAAUUGUAGCGUUUUCAUGACGCAACUGUAACAAAGUCCCUAUGGGAGGAUUGUAAGACAAGAACGGUAGCAAUGUGUGGAGAACUCUUGAAUUUGAGGGAGGAAUGUGGUGUGGUUUUUCUUCCUAUCUCAUCCUACAAUUUAAUACAGAUUUUGCUAUGAGAUGCAAUGAAAGGUUAAAGAUAUUCAGUAGUUUAAUAAACAGCUGCUUUUCUUUCUAGGUCAAGGUUUAUCAAAAACUCAGAUUCAUUUAAGCUUCAUAAAUUUGACACUGAGCGUUGUCUACAUGUCACUUUUUUACUGAGAUUAAUAGUAUGUUUCUGUGCCAAAAUCAAAAAUAUUCAGUUACAUUCAUAUCCCUAUAGAAACUUCUCCCAAAAUGAACAAAAAAAACCCCCACCACCA